UUCUACCGGUUCUUUUCCAUCACACCUCCCAUCUUUUCCCGACAUGCAAAGCCUUUCCCCUCCCCACGCUCGAUCAAAUCUGGAUCUCGGCGGCGGCGCCUCCUCCCUCUCCCCACGCACCGACGCAUCCUUUGGAGCCCUCCCCGCCACCUCCCUUCCGAGCGCCCACGCGACUGCCCCUCCUCGCCGUAUAUCGCGGCCGUGAGAGCCUCAAGAGGCUGGGCAUGGAGGACCGCUUCAAGGGGAUGAUCUUCUUCGAGACUCUGAACCCGCUGUGCCUGCUGACUGCUGUUGCCGUGCGACCAGGCGCCCGAGAUCUUCGACAUCGCUGGUCACUUCGCUGGGCCAGGCAGCGCCAACGACCUGCCUAGGAUCCCCGAUUCCCCGUCAUAUGCAAGCCCAACGUCGGCGCCAUGGAGCCGUCCCUCAAGAUCGCCAACGUCAACACUACAAGGCGGUAAGCCCUCCCCUCGAGCUCGACUCCAGCCCGGCGACGACGACGACCUGAUUCCUACCGGUGGACGAUGAUGUGCUCUGGCCCAACCGCCUCGACCUCAACAAGCCUCCUCAAGAUUCGUCACCGUGGGCUGCGCCCCUCUCUUCCUUCACGACCAGGAGUUGACGAGGAGAACCAUCAACUUGAUUGAUUGGUUGUCUACUCGAAAAGAAAAGAAGAUGAAAAUGAGUGGAUCUGAAGAAGGAGAGAGGGCAAGAAGAAGAGACGCCGUGCGGCUUGUAGUGGGUGAGAAUUGUCUAGCCGGCAACGGAUUUCCAGCAAGGGCGGCAGAGAAAAAUCCAUGACGAGAUGAACGCCACCACGAUCAUGGAUGUCAUCGAGUUCUCUUGGGCAAUAAAACUGCAGUCACUGGAGGGAGCAAACCAAAUGACCAUAUAUUUAUCUACUACUCAGAUCACGGGGGUCCUGGAGUCCUUGGUAUGCCCAACCUGCCAUAUCCCUAUGCUGUGGAUUUUAUCAAGGUCUUACAAGAAAAACAUGCAUCCAACCCCUACGCAAAAAUGGUUAUAUAUGUGGAAGCUUGUGAAAGUGGCAGUAUUUUUGAGGGUUUGAUGCCUGCAGACCUCAAUAUUUAUGUCACAACAACAUCUAAUGAAGAAGAAAGCAGCUGGGGUACAUACUGCCCAGGAAUGGAACCAUCGCCUCCUUUUGAGUAUAUUACCUGCUUAGGUGAUCUCUACAGUAUUUCUUGGAUGGAAGACAUGUAUGUAACUCGUAACCUAAAUUCACAAUGAUUAGAUUAAUUUACAGAGUACCAGUGUUUAGCAGAAUAGGGUACAAUGACCAGCAGCUGAUGAGUUAUAUUUAGUUGCACUACUUUGCACUGCAUAGUACCUCAAGGAGGAUUUUGUAACAAGUCAUGUCCAUUCCUUCCUUUAGUUCCGAAGUACAUGGCAUAGAACCUGCGAAUCUGGAUUACACAAGUCUGCUGAAGAAUCUGUUUGUAUAUUAAGCAUUCACUUAAUGACGUGUUUGGUUAUCCUAGUUCCAGGUUCAGAUUGUUUGUAGAGUAAUCAUACAUCAAUAGCGUAUGUGCGGUCUGUAUAAAAUGGAUAGGCGUAAGUUUUCUUAACCAACUUGCUGCGCAUUAUUGGUUCUAGCUGAAAUAUCUUUUCCCCUGCAUCUUACACCAAGGGAGAUUCAGGGAAUAAGUGAGGUGCAUAAGUAUAACAACAAGGCAGGCGAGAUACCAGUGGUGUAGGCUUCAACAUUCAGUCGUUGUGGCCACAAUGCACUCUUAUUUAAUAAUAUAAUUUGCAUGUUUUAUAUUUGAGAGGGAAUUAGAUUUAGCCUAGCCGUGCCGUCCAUCCCAGAUGCUAAUAAAUUGUGUAACUACAUAAGUUCUUUUUUGACUGCAGAAAUAGCAUCGGCUGCAAAGAUGGAGUAUGUUUUACAUGUUUUUUUGUUGUUGAAAAAAGUAUGCUUUUCAUCUUAACCAUACACUCGACAAAAAAUGUUGUUUUGCUGAAGAAUUUCUUUUCAGCUAUGGUAUUUAAGCUCAGAGUUACUAACUCAAUGAGGUGUAUUAUAAAUUUGGAGGCACUAUUUUUUUUUCAUAUACAGAAAUGUAUUUGACACCUCUGAGCAUCUACAGAUCUUGCAAUUUGUAGAUAGCAUUUGCCUUCCGAAAAGUUUCCUUGAGACCAUGUGAGUCUGAAGAUAAAUUGUUUAAUAGUGAAUGUUGUUAUAUUUAUGCAAGUUGGAUGCUAUUAAAAAUUUCUUAUUUCCCAUUUUGGGAAUGAAUUGUGCUUUAUACUAGCUGUUAGAGAAAUAUUGGAACACAGUGUGCAUGAUAGUUCUUUUUAGAAUACGUAAAGAACUUUGUAUGCCGAUGAACUCACGAAAAAAGAGAUUUGGAAUUAUGUCCAAGCCUAAAGAAGGGCCAUGCCUAAAAUAGAAUUCUGCACCCCUUUCUAAUAUUACUAACGGGUUGAUGUUGUUGCACGUCGUGGCGGGGACGGCCGUGUAGCAGCCGUAUGUGCACUGCUUGUGCGGGGCGCCAAUCUGGAGGCCCCUGAUCCGAAGGGAAGCCACUGGAGCUGCUGUGGGAGAUGGUGGCGGUACGCUGGUAGAGCUGGGAGCAUACGUGGAGGGGCUGGACCUACUGGUCCUUGAAGGUGCUGAUAUACAUAGGUGCUUUGAGAAAAAAAUCAGUUAGGAUGAUGCGGUGCUUACGGGAGGUAGAUGGCGAAUAGAGAGGGUGGGAGAGAGAAGGGGAGGGAGCGGUAGACAGAUAUGCAUUAUAUUCAUAGGUGCAGUCGAAAACACAAAUCAAAGGCCCGUGGCAACGUGCGGGCAUUCUACUGGUUUUUGAACUUCCUUUUCUUGGUCAAGUGACAUUUAAAGUUUGCACUUCCCAGAUAUUAGAAUAGCAAAAAUAAGUUUAAGUUGUCAUGUGAGCCUCACAAAACCUGAUUCUUUCAUUGGGCGUGAACCUUAGGCCCCGGCUGGGAGCUCUGUAUCUUUCGAGCAUUCCAAGAAUACUUUGGUUUUCAACAACAUUGAAGUAUUAAAUACUUUGAGGUGUUUGGCUUUAGCCAAAACUGUAGUUUCAUAUAGUUAAACAUUUAGGAAACUGAACUAUUUUGAAGU